rnacentral:rRNA from 1 species
UACGUAGGGUGCAAGCGUUGUCCGGAAUUAUUGGGCGUAAAGGGCUCGUAGGCGGUUUGUCGCGUCGGGAGUGAAAACUCAGGGCUUAACCCUGAGCCUGCUUCCGAUACGGGCAGACUAGAGGUAUGCAGGGGAGAACGGAAUUCCUGGUGUAGCGGUGAAAAUGCGCAGAUAUCAGGAGGAACACCGGUGGCGAAGGCGGUUCUCUGGGCAUUACCUGACGCUGAGGAGCGAAAGUGUGGGGAGCGAACAGG